UGAGCCACUGUACCCGGCCACAGUUCAGUUUUUAUUAGGCAUCAAUUUGUAUUGGUGUGAACUUUUCAAAAUGUAAAUAAUAUAUGCAGUUUCUUUGGUAUGACCUGUGUUAACUCAGAUUCAGAGAAUUUAUAAUGUAUUUUUUUUAAUAACAGAAAACUUUUCUGAUAUUCUUCUAGUUUUGGAUUGCCAAAUAUUCAUAGUAGAGGAAAACUGAGAGAAUGUAGGAAACCAUUCUUUAUACUUGCAUGUAAACAUCUUCCAGCAACAAUCAUUUAUUGUUAAACCUGGGAAAAGCCAUUACACAGGAAACCUCUGUCGAUAUAAGCGAUGAUGAAAAAGGCUAUUUAGCCAUUCUGCAUAUUUAAUGCUCAUGAUCAACAUCUGCUUCUUAUAGCUGGGAUGAUAUGGGGGAAGAUAUUUAUCCCUUCUCGGGAUCAUAUAUAAAGGUGAUAGUUGUACCUAUAGUGUAAUGCUGUUAGAAUUACAUGAGUUAGAUGUGGAGGUCAGAGUGGAAGCAGAUGUGAGAGGUUCCCACAGAAGAAACAAGGCUGCCAAAGUGUUUGAGUCCAUCGGCAAGUUUGGCCUGGCUUUAGCUGUUGGAGGAGGCAUGGUGAACUCUGCCUUAUAUAAUAUGGAUGCUGGGCACAGAGCUGUCAUCUUUGACCGAUUCCAUGGAGUACAGAACAUUGUUGUAGGGGAAGGGACUCACUUUUUCAUCCUAUGGGUACAAAAACCAAUUAUAUUUGACUGCUGUUCUCAACCACGUAAUGUGCCAGUCAUCACUGGUAGCAAAGAUUUACAGAAUGUCAACAUCACACCGUGCAUCCUCUUCCAGCCCGUCACUAGCCAGCUUCCUCGCAUCUUCACCAGCGUCAGAGAGGACUAUGAUGAGCGUGUGCUGCCGUUCAUCACCACUGAGAUCCUCAAGUCACUGGUGGCUCGCUUUGAUGCUGGAGAACUAAUCACCCAGAGGAAGCUGGUCUCCAGCCAGGUGAGCAACGACCUUAUGGAGUGAGCAGCCACCUUUGGGCUUAUUCUGGACGACGUGUCUUUGACACAUCUGACCUUCGUGAAGGAGUUAACAGAAGCGGUGGAAGCCAAACAGGUGGCCCCCCAGGAAGCAGAGAGUGCCAAAUUUGUGGUGGAAAAGGCUGAGCAGCAGAAAAAGGCGGCCAUCAUCUCUGCUGAGGGUGACUCCAAGGCAGCUGAGCUGAUCGCCAACUCACUGUCCACUUGCAGGGGACGGCCUGAGCGAGCUGUGCAAGUUGGAAGCUGCAGAAGACAUUGCAUAUCAGCUCUCACGCUCUCGGAACAUCACCUGCCUGCCGCGGGGCAGUCCGUGCUCCUCCAGCUGCCCUAGUGAGGGUCCAGCCUACCUGCACCUCUGUGAGGCAACUGGGCCACAGCCUCGAUGAUUUGUAACACCACCUUCAUUCCGCCCUCACCCCAGAAAUCACUGAAAUUUCAUGAUUGGCUUAAAGUGAAGGAAAUAAAGGUAAAAUCACUUCAGAUCUCUAAAAAAAA